rnacentral:rRNA from 1 species
GACGAACGCUGGCGGCGUGCUUAACACAUGCAAGUCGAACGGAAAGGCCCUGCUUUUGUGGGGUGCUCGAGUGGCGAACGGGUGAGUAACACGUGAGUAACCUGCCCUUGACUUUGGGAUGACUUCAGGAAACUGGGGCUAAUACCGGAUAGGAGCUCCUGCUGCAUGGUGGGGGUUGGAAAGUUUCGGCGGUUGGGGAUGGACUCGCGGCUUAUCAGCUUGUUGGUGGGGUAGUGGCUGACCAAGGCUUUGACGGGUAGCUGGCCUGAGAGGGUGACCGGCCACAUUGGGACUGAGAUACGGCCCAGACUCCUACGGGAGGCAGCAGUGGGGAAUAUUGCACAAUGGGCGGAAGCCGGAUGCAGCAACGCCGCGUGCGGGAUGACGGCCUUCGGGUUGUAAACCGCUUUCGCCUGUGACGAAGCGUGAGUGACGGUAAUGGGUAAAGAAGCACCGGCUAACUACGUG